GAAACCGGCGAACGGGUGCGAAACACGUGAGGAACCUGCCCCGAAGACCGGGAUAGCCCGAGGAAACUCGGAUUAAUACCGGAUACCCUCUUUGGACCACAUGGUCGAUUGAGGAAAUGGUCCGCCGCUUCGGGAUGGCCUCGCGGCCUAUCAGCUUGUUGGUGGCAUGCUAAUGGCUCACCAAGGCCGAGACGGGUAGCUGGUCUGAGAGGACGAUCAGCCACACUGGGACUGAGACACGGCCCAGACUCCUACGGGAGGCAGCAGCAGGGAAUAUUGCACAAUGGGCGAAAGCCUGUGGCAGCGACACCGCGUGCGGGAUGAAGGCCUUCGGGUUGUAAACCGCUUUCAGGAGGGACGAAAAUGACGGUACCUCCAGAAGAAGGCCCGGCCAACUACGUGCCAGCAGCCGCGGUAAUACGUAGGGGCCAAACGUUGUCCGGAUUUAUUGGGCGUAAAGGGCUCGUAGGCGGUUCAACAAGUCGGUCGUGAAAGCCCGGGGCUCACCCCGGGACGCCNGUCGAAACUGUUGUGACUAGGGGUCCGGUAAAGGUGAGUGGCCUACGU
rnacentral:rRNA from 1 species